rnacentral:rRNA from 1 species
GAUGAACGCUGGCGGCGUGCCUAAUACAUGCAAGUCGAGCGAAUGGAUUGAGAGCUUGCUCUCAAGAAGUUAGCGGCGGACGGGUGAGUAACACGUGAGUAACCUGCCCAUAAGACUGGGAUAACUCCGGGAAACCGGGGCUAAUACCGGAUAACAUUUUGAACCGCAUGGUUCGAAAUUGAAAGGCGGCUUCGGCUGUCACUUAUGGAUGGACCCGCGUCGCAUUAGCUAGUUGGUGAGGUAACGGCUCACCAAGGCAACGAUGCGUAGCCGACCUGAGAGGGUGAUCGGCCACACUGGGACUGAGACACGGCCCAGACUCCUACGGGAGGCAGCAGUAGGGAAUCUUCCGCAAUGGACGAAAGUCUGACGGAGCAACGCCGCGUGAGUGAUGAAGGCUUUCGGGUCGUAAAACUCUGUUGUUAGGGAAGAACAAGUGCUAGUUGAAUAAGCUGGCACCUUGACGGUACCUAACCAGAAAGCCACGGCUAACUACGUGCCAGCAGCCGCGGUAAAAC